AGUGAACGCUGGCGGUAGGCCUAACACAUGCAAGUCGAACGGCAGCACAGUAAGAGCUUGCUCUUACGGGUGGCGAGUGGCGGACGGGUGAGGAAUACAUCGGAAUCUACUUUUUCGUGGGGGAUAACGUAGGGAAACUUACGCUAAUACCGCAUACGACCUACGGGUGAAAGCAGGGGAUCUUCGGACCUUGCGCGAUUGAAUGAGCCGAUGUCGGAUUAGCUAGUUGGCGGGGUAAAGGCCCACCAAGGCGGCGAUCGGUAGCUGGUCUGAGAGGAUGAUCGGCCACACUGGAACUGGAACACGGUCCAGAGUCCUACGGGAGGCAGCAGUGGGGAAUAUUGGACAAUGGGCGCAAGCCUGAUCCAGCCAUACCGCGUGGGUGAAGAAGACCUUCGGGUUGUGAAGCCCUUUUGUUGGGAAAGAAAAGCAGCAGGUUAAUACCCCGCUGUUCUGACGGUACCCAAAGAAUAAGCACCGGCUAACUUCGUG
rnacentral:rRNA from 1 species